rnacentral:sRNA from 1 species
UCCCUGUACCUCCCCUGUUCUCUCCAGGCCGUGGUGUCUGCAGCCCAGGCAGGCCUGCUCCGGCAGCAGGAAGAACUGGACAGGAAAGCUGCCGAGCUGGAACGCAAGGAGCGGGAGCUGCAGAACACUGUAGCCAACUUGCAUGUGAGACAGAACAACUGGCCCCCCCUGCCCUCGUGGUGCCCUGUGAAGCCCUGCUUCUAUCAGGAUUUCUCCACAGAGAUCCCUGCCGACUACCAGCGGAUAUGCAAGAUGCUCUACUAUCUGUGGAUGUUGCAUUCAGUGACUCUGUUUCUGAACCUGCUUGCCUGCCUGGCCUGGUUCUCGGGCAACAGCUCCAAGGGAGUGGACUUUGGCCUCUCCAUCCUGUGGUUUCUGAUCUUCACUCCCUGUGCCUUCCUUUGUUGGUACCGACCCAUCUAUAAGGCCUUUAGGUCCGACAACUCUUUCAGCUUCUUUGUGUUCUUCUUUGUAUUUUUUUGUCAAAUAGGGAUCUACAUCAUCCAGUUGGUUGGCAUCCCUGGCCUGGGGGACAGCGGUUGGAUUGCAGCCCUGUCUACACUGGAUAAUCAUUCCCUGGCCAUAUCAGUCAUCAUGAUGGUGGUGGCUGGCUUCUUCACCCUCUGUGCCGUGCUCUCAGUCUUCCUCCUGCAGCGGGUGCACUCCCUCUAUCGACGGACAGGGGCCAGCUUCCAGCAGGCCCAGGAGGAGUUUUCCCAGGGCAUCUUCAGCAGCAGAACCUUCCACAGAGCUGCUUCAUCUGCUGCCCAAGGAGCCUUCCAGGGGAAUUAGUCCUCCUCUCUUCUCUCCCCCUCAGCCUUUCUCUCGCCUGCCUUCUGAGCUGCACUUUCCGUGGGUGCCUUAUGU